rnacentral:rRNA from 1 species
GACGAACGCUGGCGGCGCGCUUAACACAUGCCAGUCGAACGGAAAGGCCUGCUUUCCCUUGUGGAUUGCGGGUACUCGAGUGGCGAACGGGUGAGUAACACGUGAGUGAUCUGCCCCCAACUUGGGUAUAAGCCUGGGAAACUGGGUCUAAUUCCCGAUAGGACUGCAGGGUGGUGCCUGUGGUGGAAAACGAUUUUCUAGUGGUUGGGGAUGAGCUCGCGGCCUAUCAGCUUGUUGGUGGGGUAAUGGCCUACCAAGGCGGCGACGGGUAGCCGGCCUGAGAGGGUGGACGGCCACAUUGGGACUGGGAUACGGCCCAGACGCCUACGGGAGGCAGCAGUGGGGAAUAUUGCACAAUGGGCGGAAGCCUGAUGCAGCGACGCCGCGUGGGGGAUGACGGCCUUCGGGUUGUAAACUCCUUUCGACCGCGAGGAAGCCACCUGGUUGGAAGGGUGGUGACGGUAGUGGGAGAAGAAGCACCGGCUAACUACGUG